GCCAGCAGCUAGCUCUUUACAACUCUCACAUGGUUGCCCAUUAAAGCCAAGGAGGGCUGCGCCUAGUCAGUACCUGGAUGGGGGACCACAUGGAAAAGCUAGGUUGCUGCCGAAA
ensembl:rRNA 5S_rRNA 5S ribosomal RNA